rnacentral:tRNA from 1 species
GGCCGUGUGCCCGAGUGGUUCAGGGGCUCGCCUGCAAAGCGAGUUACGUGGGUUCAAUUCCCGCCACGGCCUCCA